rnacentral:tRNA from 1 species
AAGAAAUUAGUAUAUAUCAAGUACCGCUCUAUUACAAAGAGCAAGAUUAUAUUUCUUU